CCUACGGGCGGCUGCAGUGAGGAAUAUUGGUCAAUGGCCGGAAGGCUGAACCAGCCAUGCCGCGUGAAGGUCAGUGCCCUAUGGGCGUUAAACUUCUUUUGUGCGGGAGCAAUAAUGGUCACGUGUGGCCAGACGAGAGUACCGUACGAAUAAGCAUCGGCUAACUCCGUGCCAGCAGCCGCGGUAAUACGGGGGAUGCAAGCUUUAUCCGGAUUUAUUGGGGUUAAAGGGUGCGUAGGCUGUGAGGUAAGUCAGCGGUGAAAUGCCCCCGCUCAACGGGGUGAAGUGCCAUUGAUACUGCCUUGCUGGAAUGCGGAUGCCGUGGGAGGAAUGUGUGGUGUAGCGGUGAAAUGCAUAGAUAUCACACAGAACACCGAUUGCGAAGACAUCUCACGAAUCCGCGAUUGACGCUGAUGCACGAAAGCGUGGGUAUCAAACAGGAUUAGAUACCCCAGUAGUC
rnacentral:rRNA from 1 species